UACGGAGGGAGCUAGCGUUGUUCGGAAUUACUGGGCGUAAAGCGCGCGUAGGCGGCUUUGUAAGUUAGAGGUGAAAGCCCGGAGCUCAACUCCGGAACUGCCUUUAAGACUGCAUCGCUAGAAUCCGGGAGAGGUGAGUGGAAUUCCGAGUGUAGAGGUGAAAUUCGUAGAUAUUCGGAAGAACACCAGUGGCGAAGGCGGCUCACUGGACCGGUAUUGACGCUGAGGUGCGAAAGCGUGGGGAGCAAACAGGAUUAGAAACCCUCGUAGUCC
rnacentral:rRNA from 1 species